AUGAACGCUGGCGGCGUGCCUCAUACAUGCCAGUCGCGCGAACAGACGAGGAGCUUGCUCCUCUGACGUUAGCGGCGGACGGGUGAGUAACACGUGGAUAACCUACCUAUAAGACUGGGAUAACUUCGGGAAACCGGAGCUAAUACCGGAUAAUAUAUUGAACCGCAUGGUUCAAUAGUGAAAGACGGUUUUGCUGUCACUUAUAGAUGGAUCCGCGCCGCAUUAGCUAGUUGGUAAGGUAACGGCUUACCAAGGCGACGAUGCGUAGCCGACCUGAGAGGGUGAUCGGCCACACUGGAACUGAGACACGGUCCAGACUCCUACGGGAGGCAGCAGUAGGGAAUCUUCCGCAAUGGGCGAAAGCCUGACGGAGCAACGCCGCGUGAGUGAUGAAGGUCUUCGGAUCGUAAAACUCUGUUAUUAGGGAAGAGCAAAUGUGUAAGUAACUAUGCACGUCUUGACGGUACCUAAUCAGAAAGCCACGGCUAACUACGUG
rnacentral:rRNA from 1 species